CCUACGGGUGGCUGCAGUAACGAAUCUUCCCCAAUGGGCGCAAGCCUGAGGGAGCGACGCCGCGUGGAGGAUGAAGUCCUUCGGGAUGUAAACUCCUGUCAGGGGUUCGAAAGUUCUGAUCAACCCCAGAGGAAGUGGCGACUAACUCUGUGCCAGCAGUCGCGGUAAGACAGAGGCCACAAGCGUUAGGCGGAAUCACUGGGCUUAAAGCGUGUGUAGGCGGACCGUUAAGUGUCCUGUGAAAUCCCCCGGCUCAACCGGGGAACGGCAGGGCAAACUGGCGGUCUUGAGCUGCCCAGGGGCGACUGGAACAAGCGGUGGAGCGGUGAAAUGCGUAGAUAUCGCUUGGAACGCCAAAGGUGAAAACAGGUCGCUGGGGGCAAGCUGACGCUGAGACACGAAAGCCAGGGGAGCAAACGGGAUUAGAUACCCUAGUAGUC
rnacentral:rRNA from 1 species